rnacentral:rRNA from 1 species
UUUCAGUUCGGCUGGAUACCACACAGGUGCUGCAUGGCUGUCGUCAGCUCGUGUCGUGAGAUGUUCGGUUAAGUCCGGCAACGAGCGCAACCCACAUUCUUAGUUGCCAGCAUUCAGUUGGGCACUCUAGGAAAACUGCCGAUGAUAAGUCGGAGGAAGGUGUGGAUGACGUCAAGUCCUCAUGGCCCUUACGGGUUGGGCUACACACGUGCUACAAUGGCAGUGACAAUGGGUUAAUCCCAAAAAGCUGUCUCAGUUCGGAUUGGGGUCUGCAACUCGACCCCAUGAAGUCGGAAUCGCUAGUAAUCGCGUAACAGCAUGACGCGGUGAAUACGUUCCCGGGCCUU